GACGAACGCUGGCGGCGUGCCUAAUACAUGCAAGUUGAGCGCUGAAGGUUGGUACUUGUACCAACUGGAUGAGCAGCGAACGGGUGAGUAACGCGUGGGGAAUCUGCCUUUGAGCGGGGGACAACAUUUGGAAACGAAUGCUAAUACCGCAUAAAAACUUUAAACACAAGUUUUAAGUUUGAAAGAUGCAAUUGCAUCACUCAAAGAUGAUCCCGCGUUGUAUUAGCUAGUUGGUGAGGUAAAGGCUCACCAAGGCGAUGAUACAUAGCCGACCUGAGAGGGUGAUCGGCCACAUUGGGACUGAGACACGGCCCAAACUCCUACGGGAGGCAGCAGUAGGGAAUCUUCGGCAAUGGACGAAAGUCUGACCGAGCAACGCCGCGUGAGGGAAGAAGGUUGUCGGAUCGUAAAACUCGGUUGGUAGAGAAGAACGUUGGUGAGAGUGGAAAGCUCAUCAAGUGACGGUAACUACACAGAAAGGGACGGCUAACUACGUG
rnacentral:rRNA from 1 species